ensembl:lncRNA
GUCUAUUGUGAGGGAAUAUGGCAGGGGAAACGGUGUUGCAGUAGUCUAGUGUGAGGGGUUAUGGCAGGGGAAACAGUGUUGCAGUGGUCUAGUGAGAGGAGUUAUGGCAGGGGAAACGGUGUUGCAGUGGUCUGGUGUGAGGGGUUAUGGCAGGGGAAACAGUGUUGCAGUGGUCUAGUAUGAGGGGUUACGGCAGGGGAAACGGUUUUGCAGUAGUCUAGUAUGAGGGGUUAUGGCAGGGGAAACGGUGUUGCAGUAGUCUAGUAUGAGGGGAUAUGGCAAAAGAAACGGUGUUGCAGUAGUCUAGUGUGAGGGGUUAUGGCAGGGGAAACGGUGUUGCAGUAGUCUAGUGUGAGGG